rnacentral:misc_RNA from 1 species
UCGUAGUUUUUUUUAAUAGAAAACUUUUCUUUAAACUAUUCGAUUCUGUCCUAUCUUGCUCUAUGAGGGCUCCUGCUUGCGAAACAGCAACGGCAUAUUGUAAUCAUGUUCCUUGCAUCUCAGUAUAUUUCUGUUUUCUACAAUCAGGCAUCAAUAUCAUAUUCCUCGUUUCCCCAUGCUUGUGGCUACUAGCGGUAGAUUAUGUUGUGUGCUAGGUAUGAAUACUAGGAAUUGGAAAUUCAUACUAAAUUAUAGCUCUCAUUAUAGCUCUUCCAAAAUACUAGGAAUUGGAAAUUCUAACUAAAUUAUGUUGUGUGCUAGGUGUGAAUGUCUGAUUUCAACUAGAAUUUUCAACUUGUAGCCUGUAGAAUCAAGCAUUUUAUUUACUGUAGGAAUAGAAAGACAAGGGAAAAGAUAUAAAAUGAGAGCAAGAAGGAAUUUUUUAUUACAAAAUAUAUUACUCUCUUUGCUUUCUUGGAUAAAAAUUAGGAUUUAGGGGGAAAUUGUGCAGCAUGUGAUGGCUAAAACCAAUGCACUGUAAUAUGCCUCUCAGAUGACACUCAACUAUUAGGUUCCAUUAACAAUUGUAACUCAUUUCCAAAUCAGGUAGUCAGUUACGUGUCAUAAAAAAUGCUGAUGAUAGUGGUAAUUUUGAAUAUUUAUCACAGUAACAAGAUUUUCUAGGACAGGUCUUUCCGUAUAUGCUUCUCGGAACAUUUGGUCUAAUAUGUGCGUGGGAGUGUAAGUUCCCCCUGCCCCUUCCCUUUUUAAAGGCUAAUUAUUAGAUAUAUUGGAAGCACUAAAAUAAAUGGUGUUUACUCUCUAACAGAAAAGUGGGUCCUCCCUAUAAUAUAGAGAGUGGGUCUCGCAUGAUUGUGAGGGAUGAUGUAUGUGCAUCAGGUGCACCUAAUAAUUUUUCUUUUUUAAGGUAUUGGGUUUUGGUUUAAAGUUCUAGUCGGUCUUAUUGUUCUCCGGUUUAAUUUAGUUCAUUUUCAAGUUAUUAUGAAGUUUAUUUUGUUGUUGAUAAAGGAAGUACUUUAUCGUGUUGAAGUAGGAUUUAGGUUUAAUACAUUCACAGGUUGUGGUUCAUAUGGUCCAUGAACAGAACCCAGAUCAUUCCUUUUGCUUGACAUUUGGUCAUAUGAUUAGAUUGGGAUGGUCAAGCAUAAAGAUCUGGUAAGGGCUGGAGUUAGGUUAUUUUUUCUUUGGUACUUUGGAAAUCGUUAGAGGGGAUGGGGUUGUCAGGUUUUGAUCCCUGACCUCCUGCACUACAAAGCAAGCGCAUGACCACUGGGCUACUUGUCCAAUGGCUAGCAGGCAGUGGUCAGUGCAGCAACUAACUGUCUAUGUACCUUUUGCAAAUUUUAAAGUAAGUGAACAUACUUUUCUGAGGAUUUCACGUUUUCUGUGUUAGUAUGUGUUUUUACUUGGCAUUGUUAGUCUGAAUGAACUACCCCUUUGGUCUUCUUUGACGUUGUGGAUUUGUUUAGGUUAGUUUUCAAGAGUUCAAGUUCAGCCAUGGAAUGGGCACAGAGAAACAGAUAUUUCCAUCUCCUUUCUAGAGGAGUUGAACGAGAUGGUUGGAGAUUUGUACUGCUUGCACGCUUCUCUCCCAUGCCCUCUUAUGUAAUCAACUAUGCCCUAGCUGCGACAAAAGUUGGGUUCCUAGUGGAUUUCCUGCUCCCUACAGUCAUUGGUUGUCUGCCCAUGAUCUUACAGAACACAUCCAUAGGCAGCCUUGCUGGUGCUGCUGUUGCUUCAACAUCUGGGUCUCAGAAAUCUAAGGUGUGGUCUUACCUAUUUCCCAUACUUGGUAUUGUAUCCAGCAUCCUUAUUUCCUUGAGAAUAAAAAAGUACUCCACUGAUGUCACAAUGGUUGCAUCCUCUCCUAGCAAUCAUGCUGGUGACUGUAAUGAUGUUGAUUCAUCUCCUACCCUUUCUGGUAGAACAGGUGGUGACAGCCUGAAGAAGAGUCAAUAAAAAAGACGUAACUAGUGAUAAUGUUUUUCCGUUGAUAUUUUUGCUAAUUCUGCUUUGUAAAGACAUAUAUGAUUUCUGAACCACUGUUUUUGCUUGAUUCUUGGUUCUUAUUUAAUUUUAGAUUAUCUUUUGGCUUAAUGUUUAGGCUUUAAAGUUGAAUAAUCUUUUCUCUCUUCUCUGCCCUUGAAACAUUGGAAGGUGCUGUUAAGUAUGCUAUAAGCCUACAAAUUUUCUAUUCUGACUUUGAUAAUUAUCUUGGUAAUUAACCUGCUGUACAUUGCACAUGUAGUCAUGUUUUAAUGCAUAGAAUGUCAUGUUCUACAAUCCUUCUGUUCUAAUUUAA